CAGCAAUCCUUCAGAAUUUAAGCUCCCUGCACAUGAUUCUCGAAUUGCAUGUCGAGAUUCUCGAACUUGUCAUCUGGAUGGCGUUCUAGCACCUACAUAAACUGCAGAUGCUCCUGCUAUUCUUUGCUGAAUCCUGUGAAGGGGAGGUGCCGAUUUAGGAAGGAUGUUCAAGUGAUGAAGCCUCUUUGAUCAUGUCUUCACAUACAAAGAUCCAAGUAAAUUUACUGUACUAUAGUGGUCCAAUUUUAGAAUCAUGUAUUAGGGUUCACAUCACUAGCGAAUUUAGUUAUGCUUUGUUGCAAUCAUUUCCUUCAUUUCAGUUUCAAGUGUAACCCUACAACUGCACGACCUACAACAAGCCUCAAGCCCGUUAUGACUCAACAGUCUUAGGAUAGUGUUUUGAUAAACCUCAAGACCGCCCACCUUCGAAUACGGACGUGUCUGCCAGAAAUGAUUAAGAAGUGCACAGCAUCCUCUAAUCGAACGAACCAGGACAACAAUUUCAAUCUCAGUCAACUCAGAUUCGCGGCAUGGGAAGUAGUUGACGAGUUGCAGUCGAAGGCAAAUAAUAAUCAGCCAGAAUCAGGAACAUCUCGAAUGAUCGCCGUAAAACCCCCUCGCUUGUAGUAAAGUAGUCU
rnacentral:lncRNA from 1 species